AUGGGAACGCGAAGAACCUUACCUAGACUUGACAUCUUCUGCAUUAAUCGUAAUGGAUGAAAUCCCUUCGGGGACAGAAUGACAGGUGGUGCAUGGUUGUCGUCAGCUCGUGUCGUGAGAUGUUGGGUUAAGUCCCGCAACGAGCGCAACCCUUAUUAUUAGUUGCUAACAUUAAGUUGAGCACUCUAGUGAGACUGCCCGGGUUAACCGGGAGGAAGGUGGGGAUGACGUCAAAUCAUCAUGCCCCUUAUGUCUAGGGCUACACACGUGCUACAAUGGUGGGAACAAAGAGAUGCAAUACCGCAAGGUGGAGCUAAACUCAAAACCCCAUCCCAGUUCGGAUUGUAGGCUGAAACUCGCCUACAUGAAGCUGGAGUUGCUAGUAAUCGCGAAUCAGAAUGUCGCGGUGAAUACGUUCCCGGGUCUUGUACACACCG
rnacentral:rRNA from 1 species